rnacentral:rRNA from 1 species
GACGAACGCUGGCGGCGUGCUUAACACAUGCAAGUCGAACGGAAAGGUCCUGCUUUUGUGGGGUGCUCGAGUGGCGAACGGGUGAGUAACACGUGAGUAACCUGCCCUUGACUUUGGGAUAACUUCAGGAAACUGGGGCUAAUACCGGAUAGGAGCUCCUGCUGCAUGGUGGGGGUUGGAAAGUUUCGGCGGUUGGGGAUGGACUCGCGGCUUAUCAGCUUGUUGGUGGGGUAGUGGCUUACCAAGGCUUUGACGGGUAGCCGGCCUGAGAGGGUGACCGGCCACAUUGGGACUGAGAUACGGCCCAGACUCCUACGGGAGGCAGCAGUGGGGAAUAUUGCACAAUGGGCGGAAGCCUGAUGCAGCAACGCCGCGUGCGGGAUGACGGCCUUCGGGUUGUAAACCGCUUUCGCCUGUGACGAAGCGCGAGUGACGGUAAUGGGUAAAGAAGCACCGGCUAACUACGUG